rnacentral:rRNA from 1 species
GCGACCCCAGGUCGGGCGGGACUACCCGCUGAGUU